GCCUUGUUUGGUGCGUAGGUCACAAAUUGCGAAGUUCGGUAGGUAGCUAUUUUGACGGGGCGGCAAGUCUUUUUUUCGUUUGUUGCGUGCGGGGGUGCAAGAGAGCGGGGCGGGCGUGCUGGAGCUGGAGAGCGGGGACGAGGAGGAGGGGGCGGCAAGCGGGAGACGGCAAGGAGCGGCGAGGAGGGCUCGGAGGGCGGCGAGGAGGUAAGGAGGCCUCGGCUGGCGGUGCGGGAAUCGGCGCCCUAGGGGAAGCAGCGCCCUCGGCGGCAGCUCGGGCAGGCAGCGCGGGCUCGGCGGCGGUCUCGGCGGGAAGCGGCGCCCUAGGGGAAGCGGCGCCGAGCGUCCAGCGGCUCGGCGGCGGGGCCUCGGCGGGAAGCGGCACCGGGCGUCCAGCGGCUCGGCGGCGGGGCCUCGGCGGGAAGCUGCGCCGGGCGUCCAAGGGGUCGGCGGCGGGGCCUCGGUGGGAAGCGGCGUCCAGCGGCGGCCUCGGCGGGAAGUGGUGUACAGAGGAGGGACGACCGGCGGGGCGGGAGGUGACGAGAAUAGAAGUUCGGGUUCGUACUUCCUCCGAUCCUAGCUCACGUCCGGACGCUGGUCCUAGUUGUCGUCCUCUGUUGCAAUGUAACACCGACAAUAAUUAUGUUAAAACUGGUUUCCUAAAUAAGAAAAAACCGUCUACCCGUGAACAAGUGGAAACAACAUCGCGCCUCUGAACAAGGUCUAUAAAUUGUACAGAAAAAUGCAUAGGAAACAAACAAGAGUUAAACCUACGAAAGUACGUCUAGUUCAAUAAUAACUCCUGUUUUACUUCCCCACGUAACGUUAGAUCUAAACUGAUUUACACACCGUGUUAGACAACUGUUUGUGUAAAUGUAAAUUCAUACACAUCAUACGAAGUCCAUUAAUUGGUGUUGUAAACAAAGCAGUUAAUAAAGGAAAAGUAAGUCACUUAACUGACAGGAAAACAAUUUUUCGCGCUCAGCUUACACAUUCAUGCCUUCUCCAAGAGGGUAACCCAACGGUGAUGUUGCUUUAUUUGUACAAUUACUGACAAUUUGUAUGAGAUAAAAACAUUAAGUUUCCGUUACAAAGACGGCCAGAGAACUUUCUUGAUUUUCUUUACGUCGGAAAUAUUGACUUACAGAUGUAAGUAAAAACCUCUAGUGUCUCGAUAUAUAAUUGCUCAAUAAUAUAACUACGUGUGACGUAAGUUAAAUCACUCGAACAAUAAAAAGACUAGCCUAAGUCACCAUUACCUUAACCCACCACUUCUUUUGAUCGUUCGACGUAUCCUCUUUAAGUAUGCACGUGGGCGUACUUAUUAUUAAAAGGUUUACAGUUUAUCAAGAUCUUUUUGAUAUGUAUAUUUAUAGACUUAGUAGACACAGGAACAUUUUAAUCACCUUUUUACUAAACCCUCCUACUCCAAUCCUCCAGCGUACGAACCCGUUCUCCUUCUCCAACGAAAUCAGAACUGGUGCUUCACGAGACCAUUGCGACAGCGCCGGUCAGCCGGUGAGCGAGAGGUUUAGAACGUCGACGCGUACCCAAGCUACCCGUCCGUACCGCCGAGUCUGGACACCCGAGGUGCUAGUGGUGCCGCGACGGAGGACCGGAACGGCGACCGUCAGUGGCUUGGGAGCGGCCUAACAGCUGGGUUGUUGAUUGGUAGUGGGAGUAGAGUAAUCAACCGAAGGGAGAUGACCUAGACUUAAAAAACCAACCAAACGUUUCACGUCUACACACUGAAGGAAAUACUACUUCCGUAGCUCCUCUAUUUGAAAACGAAGAGUUCGAAACUAAAUCAACUCUACAAAUUCGUUAUAACCAGUGAAGGUUCAUUUAAAAUACUACUACACUAUAUACAGAUGAUUAAAGGUAAAAAAGGGAAACACAAGUCCAUAGAUAUGAUUUCCAACGUCAUGAUGUGAUCGACCAAUGUUAAAACAUCUAAAGGAAAAUGGGAAUCAAACACGAGGGAGGCUAGGUUUAUAUUCACAGCGUCGAAACUUGAUUCCACAAGUUGGAAUCAAGUUUUGACGCUGUGAAUAAUACCUAGCCUCCUUCAUCAUUGACGGUUAAUCAUAUCAGGGAAUUCCGGAUUUUUCAUCGUAUCCUAUACCCUCGUUUUCCAAGUUACUUUUGAAAAUUUUGGACUCUACCUUCAUAUAAAACAUCCGAACAUCACGUACAAGUGGACAUGCUCGAUCUUGAAGGAAACACAACCGCCUUCACAAUCGGACGGUAAUAGUCAACUCAUAUCCCGGACUGGUCGUAAAACCAGAAAGUAAAUGAAAAAUGGUUGAGUUCAUUUUACAAACUUUAGAAUAUAGCUGGUGUAGUGAUUUUAAACCAACCUGAUACCAACGUACAAAUUCAGCUUUCUCCCUAGCUGGAAGUUGCAACGGAGCAGUCCAACAAAUCAAGGUUGCUCCAGAUUUAGGUAAGGGGGUAGAACACAGCUAACGGAAGAAUCAUGAUUACAAAGGGGAACCACUGUAACAGAUAAACCACAGGAAAAAACAUGUUUUAAUGAAAUACUACAAGUAGGACGAUUCGACGUCCCCAUUAUCACGAAGGUCAUAAACAUUAAAACUUAGUACCAGUUAACUAGUCAGUACCUAGUCUACCGAAUCAUACACUGUUUCCGAGAAACGAGGUUAGUUAGUCACCCUCUAGUUUAUCGAAUUCGAACAGCAUGUGUUACGUUACAUUGAUCUUAUCAGAAAUAGAAAAUUAGUCAAAGGGUCAAUAUAAAGAAGAUCUUAAAUCAAAAAAAUGAAACACUAAAUAACCGUAAAACAAUCUACUAUGUACGAAGAUUGAUGUCAUGUCUAGUCCAGGUUUUAGUCCUAUGUACUGUCGACGUUUCGUUUAUAUAGUUUCAACGAGCCCACCUAGAUAACACCAACUUCGACGAGUCCACCUAGAUUAGUUCUGUUGAAUAACUGGCAGAAGGUAAAGUUGACGUCGUUACACCCCACCGCGUACACCUCAUCAUCCCAUUUCUCUUCUACCUCUUCCACCAAUAAGACCGGAAUGCAACUCACAACUUAGACCCCAUAUACUUUUAUGAACUCAACUUCUUCUAGGCCAUGACCUAUAUUACUAACUCCUCUACGUACUGAAUUUAUUUUUCUCAACACUCUUAUACUUUAUUCCUUUAAUGACAAAGACUAACUCAGAAUUAGAUUUCUGCUGUAAACAUACUGCGAACGUAAGUGUUUAACUU
rnacentral:rRNA from 1 species